rnacentral:rRNA from 1 species
UACGUAGGGUGCGAGCGUUGCCCGGAUUUAUUGGGCGUAAAGGGCGCGUAGGCGGCUUGGCACGUCCGUUGUGAAAUCGCCCGGCUCAACUGGGCGGGGUCAGCGGAUACGGCCGAGCUUGAGCAAGCUAGGGGGCAAUGGAAUUCCCGGUGUAGUGGUGGAAUGCGUAGAUAUCGGGAGGAACACCAGUGGCGAAGGCGGUUGCCUGGAGCUUUGCUGACGCUGAUGCGCGAAAGCGUGGGGAGCGAACAGG